rnacentral:lncRNA from 1 species
CAUUUUUAAAGGCAAAAAGAAAACACUAGGGUAUUAUAGAUGUAACAAGUAUGAAGUACUCAGACAGAAACAAGUUAAACAACUUGCCCAAAUGCCCUAGGCCACAAAAAAAUAACUCCAGAGUCAACGUGCACAAGCACUAGCAUUUAUAGGAAAAUAUCCUUGAAUAAACGCAUUUGCAGUUUAAGAGAUUUAGUUCAAAGAAAUAUCUUAGUAAAUAGCCUAAGCGAUUUUGUCAGUGGAGUUCAUGAACUGAGUCUGAACUGAGUCACAGGCUGUAUUCAUUGAGAAAGGACUUGUUAAUGUUCUUGGAACAGACACUCAUGGGGAGCUAACCCCCUCUGACUAAUUCAGGUUUUGCCAAAUUUGGGGCCAUAGAAAGGGAAUCAGGGAUGCAGGCUGUGAAUCUGAUGAAAAUGUAAUCUUCUAUGCAGUCUGUUAAACCUUUUCUUUUGUGGACCUUCAUGUGUCCUUGACAUGGGAGAGAUGUUUGCUCUUGCUGCAGCCUCCCAGGACUUCCUCCACUACCUUCUAGAAAAAGUUAAUUGCUUCUUCUCUGAGUCCCCAGGACAUUUUCCCUCAUUCUGUCCAGCACUGCCUAUGCUGUAAUGAUGCCACGUGUUUGGUGCUUGCUUCUUAUUAGAGGUGAAUGAGUUCCUGCAGUAGAGGGACCACGCCACUCUUCCCUAGAUUCUCACCCCCUAAUACAGUCCCAUAAAUGCCAGGUUUUAGGACUCAAGAUCUUUACGAUGCUGGUGUUUGUCAACAAAAUUUAAACAAAACAUGCUCCUGAUUUGAGGUCUCAAAUACAACUGAGUUCACAAGUGGAAUUGAGCUUAGAGGAGAAGAAUAGCAUUAGAUACACUGUGCCAGCGCAGGUAAUAAUAGAAGUUAACAUUUAUGGCAGGCUAAUUACAUAUUGCAGACCUUUAGCCUAGCACUAUAUGACGACUAAUAUUGUCCUCACAAGAAUCCUGUAAAGCAGUUUUACAAAUAGAGAAACAGAGAUGAGAGCCAGACCCUGUCCCUGUUAGAGACAGGGUCUAGGACUGUCAUCCAGGCUGGAGGGUAGUAGUGCUAUUAAAGAUCACUACAGCCUUGACUUCCCAGGCUCAAGCGACCCUCUCCCCUCAGCCGCCAUGGUAGCUGGGACUACAGGCAUGUGCCGCCAUGCCUGGCUAGCAGAAAUGGAGUCUUUCUGUGUUGCCCAGGCUGGUCUUGAUCUCUUGGGUCCAAGCAAUCUCCCCACCUCAGCCUCCCAAAGUGCUGCAAUUACCGUCAUAAAACAUUGCACCAGGCGCUUCCACUUUUAAAGAUCCUGUGAGCAUUGAGCUUAUCUGAACAAUCUAGGAUAAUCUUCCUAUUUUAAGGUUGAUUAAUUAUCAACCUUAAUUCCAUCUACAAUCUUAAUUCCUCCUUGCCAUAUAAAAUAACAUACUCUCAGGUUCCACAGAUUAGGACAUAGACAUCUUUGGGAAACACUGUUCUGCUGACCACCAAUAGGAAUUAUUUUAUAUCCCCAUUUCACAAAUAAGGAAACAGAGACAGAGGGUUUAAAAAUUUUCACAGGGUCACAUAAGUAAUAAUUGACAGAGUUAAGAAUUUGACUCUUUCGCUCAGACCCCAAACUCAGUGGAUUAUUUUUAGAAGACAGAAAAGUUGUUCUCAAAUAGCUUUCUGAAGAAUGCUAUAUUUUCAUUGUUUAAUGUGACAAAUUCACAUCACAUCACAUUUAAAUAUGAAAUAGAACAUUCUGAAACUAUAGUGGGAAAAUUAUCUUUUUGCUGGAUACAUAAAUAUUAAUUUGAUCAUAAGCUUCUUUGAAUGAAUGUAAAGAAAAAUAAUUUCUCAUCAUUGGGUCCUCAACUCAAAGUUAUCUUAGGGAUGCUGUCCAUGAGCCCCAGUUUAAACAGUAGCCCACCCUCACCUCCAUGCUGUUCCUUUGUCACAUUAUCCUUUAUUUUCCUCAUGGUACUAACAACUAUAUAAAAUUAUCACGUCAAGGUAUUUUUUAAGCUCUCUCCUCUCACAAACACACAGCAAUUUAAGUUUUCUGAGAAUAGUGAAUAUAUCUCUUUUAUUUAUUUAUCACCACAAUUAAUGUAGGAUCUGGUAUUUAUUGGAAAAUUGAUAAAUAGCUAUUCAAUGAAUGAUAGACAAAAUCAUCCAGGUCGAAGAGGGCUAGACCAGGGUGGGGUAGAAGAGGGUCUUUGACCAAUUCUGUUCUAUACCAUAGAUAAUGAAGAAGCAACAACAUUUUUAUGCAACAAAGUUUAUGUCGUCAUCCCCUUAUGAUUUGAUUUUCAAGGAAUUUAUUGUUUCCUUUUUUUUCUGUUAAAAUUAACAGUGUGAUUAACAUCAUUUUACAAGUUUAUUUUUCUUUGUCUUGAUUUUAUCGUUGGAUUAAACUCUGACCUAUUGAGUAGAAGUGUCAAUAUAUUUUUAAGAUUCUUGAUAAAUAUUGUCUAUUUUUUUCUAGAAAAUUUGUAUUAUGAGUAUUUACUACUAAAACGUUCGCUAAUUUGAGAAGCAAAAUAAAGAAAAUCUCAUUGCUU